AUACGUAGGGUGCGAGCGUUGUCCGGAAUUACUGGGCGUAAAGAGCUCGUAGGUGGUUUGUCGCGUCGUCUGUGAAAUUCCGGGGCUUAACUCCGGGCGUGCAGGCGAUACGGGCAUAACUUGAGUACUGUAGGGGAGACUGGAAUUCCUGGUGUAGCGGUGAGAUGCGCAGAUAUCAGGAGGAACACCGGUGGCGAAGGCGGGUCUCUGGGCAGUAACUGACGCUGAGGAGCGAAAGCAUGGGUAGCGAACAGGAUUAGAUACCCUGGUAGUCCAUGCCGUAAACGGUGGGCGCUAGGUGUAGGGGUCUUCCACGACUUCUGUGCCGUAGCUAACGCAUUAAGCGCCCCGCCUGGGGAGUACGGCCGAAAGGCUAAAACUCAAAGGAAUUGACGGG
rnacentral:rRNA from 1 species